AAAGAACAGGAAAUGGCUGAGAAGAAUUCAAGAGAAAAUGUCUAUCCAGGCUGUAAAAAGCAGCAAAGGGUAAUCCUAGGAAAAGAAUGAUUAUGCAUAUCAACCUAACAGACAGAUGACAAAUAGGAGACAGUCAGGAAUGGCUUCUGGAGCAGCCUGCUGGGGGCCCUGUGUGAAGCCUGCCGCAUCUUCUCAGCUCCUGCUUGAAUAGCAAAGCAGCAUCUUAGAAUCAUUUCCCAAGGCUAAGGAGACGCUUCAUCAUGGAAAUACCUGAAGACCUUCGAUCUACACCUGAACCAGUUUGAAAGUGGGAGAAGAGAAUGGACUUCAUAAAGCUGUCCUUUAACCUCCACAUAUGCCAAGGCAUGUGUGAGACCAUACAUACAAAUCACAUAUCACAUUGACACAUAUUCCCCCACACACAACCAAUAACUGAUUUUGAAAGAUUUUAUUUUUAUCUAUGUGCUUGUGUUUACUAUGUAUUCUGCAUGUGUGCGGGGUGCCCUUGGAGGCCAGACAGAUCCACCAGAGCUGGAGUUACACGUGGUUGUGAGCCAUCCAACAUGGGUGCUGGGAACUGAACUUGGGUCCUCUGAAAGACUAGCAAGUGCUCUUAACUGCUGUGGCAGGAAGAUCAACAGGUUCAAGGCCAGCCUUGGAAACUUAGUAACAACCAAAUAAAAAGUAUAAAGAAAACUAGCAAUACUGUAUUUGA